rnacentral:misc_RNA from 1 species
GAUGAAGAACGUAGCGAAAUGCGAUAAGUAAUGUGAAUUGCAGAAUUCAGUGAAUCAUCGAAUCUUUGAACGCACAUUGCGCCCGCCAGUAUUCUGGCGGGCAUGCCUGUUCGAGCGUCAUUACAACCCUCAGGCCCCCGGGCCUGGCGUUGGGGAUCGGCGGAAGCCCCCUGCGGGCACAACGCCGUCCCCCAAAUACAGUGGCGGUCCCGCCGCAGCUUCCAUUGCGUAGUAGCUAACACCUCGCAACUGGAGAGCGGCGCGGCCACGCCGUAAAACCCCCAACUUCUGAAUGUUGACCUCGAAUCAGGUAGGAAUACCCGCUGAACUUAAGCAUAUCAUAAGCGGAGGA